rnacentral:rRNA from 1 species
AUUGAACGCUGGCGGCAGGCCUAACACAUGCAAGUCGAGCGGAUGAAGGGAGCUUGCUCCUGGAUUCAGCGGCGGACGGGUGAGUAAUGCCUAGGAAUCUGCCUGGUAGUGGGGGAUAACGUCCGGAAACGGGCGCUAAUACCGCGUACGUCCUGAGGGAGAAAGUGGGGGAUCUUCGGACCUCACGCUAUCAGAUGAGCCUAGGUCGGAUUAGCUAGUUGGUGGGGUAAAGGCCUACCAAGGCGACGAUCCGUAACUGGUCUGAGAGGAUGAUCAGUCACACUGGAACUGAGACUCGGUCCAGACUCCUACGGGAGGCAGCAGUGGGGAAUAUUGGACAAUGGGCGAAAGCCUGAUCCAGCCAUGCCGCGUGUGUGAAGAAGGUCUUCGGAUUGUAAAGCACUUUAAGUUGGGAGGAAGGGCAGUAAGUUAAUACCUUGCUGUUUUGACGUUACCAACAGAAUAAGCACCGGCUAACUUCGUG